AAGACUAUAGACCUGCGGAGUACCUGCGGAGGGAUCAUUAAAGAGUUUAACUACUCAAACCAUUGUGAACCUUACCUCAACCGUUGCUUCGGCGGGCGGGCCCGGGCCAAGCCCGGCGCCCCCCCGGCCCCUCGCGGGCGCCCGCCGGAGGUUAACCGAACCCUUGAAUUGUAUGGCCUCUCUGAGUCUUCUGUACUGAAUAAGUCAAAACUUUCAACAAUGGAUCUCUAGAUCGGAAGA
rnacentral:misc_RNA from 1 species